AUCCCAUGAUGAGGAUAGGUGAGGAUGUACCCUUGCAGUCUCUCCCAAGCUUCUAGGAUGGAUUCCAUCCCUGUCUGCUGCAAACUUGAAAUUUUUUUGCGCAGGGC